rnacentral:rRNA from 1 species
UACGGAGGGUGCGGGCGUUGUCCGGAAUCAUUGGGCGUAAAGGGCGCGUAGGUGGCUCGCCAAGCGGGCGGUGAAAGCCUGGGGCUCAACCCCGGGUCGGCCGUGCGAACUGGCGAGCUGGAGCACUGUAGAGGCAGGCGGAAUUCCGGGUGUAGCGGUGGAAUGCGUAGAGAUCCGGAAGAACACCGGUGGCGAAGGCGGCCUGCUGGGCAGUGGCUGACACUGAGGCGCGACAGCGUGGGGAGCAAACAGG